rnacentral:rRNA from 1 species
UACGUAGGUCCCGAGCGUUGUCCAGAUUUAUUGGGCGUAAAGCGAGCGCAGGUGGUUUAUUAAGUCUGGUGUAAAAGGCAGUGGCUCAACCAUUGUAUGCAUUGGAAACUGGUAGACUUGAGUGCAGGAGAGGAGAGUGGAAUUCCAUGUGUAGCGGUGAAAUGCGUAGAUAUAUGGAGGAACACCGGUGGCGAAAGCGGCUCUCUGGCCUGUAACUGACACUGAGGCUCGAAAGCGUGGGUAUCGAACAGG